CCUACGGGAGGCAGCAGUGGGGAAUUUUGGACAAUGGGCGCAAGCCUGAUCCAGCCAUGCCGCGUGCAGGAUGAAGGCCUUCGGGUUGUAAACUGCUUUUGUACGGAACGAAAAGACUCUGGUUAAUACCUGGGGUCCAUGACGGUACCGUAAGAAUAAGCACCGGCUAACUACGUGCCAGCAGCCGCGGUAAUACGUAGGGUGCGAGCGUUAAUCGGAAUUACUGGGCGUAAAGCGUGCGCAGGCGGUUAUAUAAGACAGAUGUGAAAUCCCCGGGCUCAACCUGGGAACUGCAUUUGUGACUGUAUAGCUAGAGUACGGCAGAGGGGGAUGGAAUUCCGCGUGUAGCAGUGAAAUGCGUAGAUAUGCGGAGGAACACCGAUGGCGAAGGCAAUCCCCUGGGCCUGUACUGACGCUCAUGCACGAAAGCGUGGGGAGCAAACAGGAUUAGAUACCCUGGUAGUCCACGCCCUAAACGAUGUCAACUGGUUGUUGGGUCUUCACUGACUCGGUAACGAAGCUAACGCGUGAAGUUGACCGCCUGGGGAGUAACGGCCGCAAGGUUGAAACUUCAAAUGAAUUGACGG
rnacentral:rRNA from 1 species